AUUCCCUUAGUAUCAAACAGUACAAGUGACUUCCAAUCACAUAGUCCUGGUUAAAGUCCAGGGGGGAAUA
rnacentral:tRNA from 1 species